rnacentral:rRNA from 1 species
CCUACGGGAGGCAGCAGUGGGGAAUCUUGCGCAAUGGCCUAACGGCUGACGCAGCGACGCCGCGUGUGGGAUGAAGCUCUUCGGAGUGUAAACCACUGUUGCCCGGGACGAACAGCUCGAUUUCUCGAGCCUGACGGUACCGGGUGAGGAAGCACCGGCUAACUCCGUGCCAGCAGCCGCGGUAAUACGGGGGGUGCGAGCGUUGUCCGGAAUCACUGGGCGUAAAGGGCGCGUAGGUGGUUUGAUAAGGGUGUGGUGAAAGUCCGGGGCUCAACCCCGGAUCUGCCGUGCCGACUGUCAAACUCGAGGACUGUAGAGGCAGACGGAAUUCCGGAUGUAGCGGUGGAAUGCGUAGAGAUCCGGAGGAAGACCGGUGGCGAAGGCGGUCUGCUGGGCAGUUUCUGACACUGAGGCGCGACAGCGUGGGGAGCAAACAGGAUUAGAUACCCUGGUAGUCCACGCCGUAAACGAUGGGUACUAGGUGCCUGGGGGAGCGACCCUCUGGGUGCCGGCGCUAACGCAGGAAGUACCCCGCCUGGGGAGUACGACCGCAAGGUUGAAACUCAAAGGAAUUGACGG